AUGGGUAAAUCACCGAAAGAAAUGGAGUGCCAUUUACAAACAACAAUCACAGCCAUAGAGUCAAAUCCACGUCCAUCAUCAGGCGAGAAAGAGAACGGCAGAGAUUGCGAGUACAGUAUCACAGUGCCACCCCUUUCUCCCGGAUCAACAGAGCCAAGAGUUCAUGCCAUCCGCCACAUGAUUCACACGAUAACAUCAACAGAGUUGCACUUAUUCACAGGCCAGCUUCGUGCCAAAGCUGGUGAGGCAGAUGGCAAACGCCUGGUAGGCCGACAGGGGAUGCCGGAAGUCCAUCGUGAAGGCGUCGUCCUCGAUCUUACCGAACUGGAGGAUCACCGUCUCCUCGUCCCCGACGCCCCAUGGGUCGCUGGUGCCGGCCGGGGCGACGAGCUGGAAGUUCUUCACGGAGGCGACGGUCACCCGGCCGUGAAAAUUCAAGCACCAGCACUGCAGGUGGUCGUGCCAUCGAGGCGCUUUGUUUUUUAG
rnacentral:rRNA from 1 species